CCAUAUUUUUUUCUGAGCACACACGACGACAUUUUGGAUUAUCCACAUGUGGUACGUUUGCAGCUCCAUGACUUAACUACCUGUAAAGUACUGUUAGAUUUUUAAAAUCACAUUUAAACUUUCAAUCAACACAGAACUGCAACAAUGAUUUGACUGUGUGAAUUUGAAAAGCAAGAUAUAGCUUAGCAUAAGGACUCGGUAGUCCUCACAUUACUCCUGUAGCCUGGAUGGAUAUUUUACCUGAACUUUUAGCAACAGUGCAAAGAUUGAACGUUAUAAUUUGUGGUUACCUGAACUGGUACAUAGCCCUGCAAUUUAUGACAGAUUUGAACUGCGUGCCUCUGUUUGCAACUCCAUGGUACUUACAAGAAGGAUAAUUGGAUAAUUUGGAUAUUUUCGACGAGGUAAGAAGCUCUAUCUUUGAUCGUACUAUCUUUAAAUUACUUAUUAAAUUUAAAUAUUAUGCCAUAAACAUCCUAUCAACACAUAACCUAAGCAUCUGUUUAUUUAAUUGCAGGAUCUGACCAUGUGAAUGUCUUGAGAGGAGAAAGGGGUAACGUUAGCCUAAUUUAGCACGCUAACGAUAGCUGAAGGACUCAUUUUCAGAUCACACGCAGAUGUCUGCCACCACUGCUGAUCUUGAAAAGAUGGGUAACCUGCCUGUGACUCCUCGUUUGAUCCUGCAUGGUCCAGAUGUUACUCCGGGCCAGUGGAUGAAACAAUGGAUGAUCAGCAUGGAAGGGAGAGUAAUCUGUGAGGGUGUGCAGCCACAUUUUUUUCUGGACUUGCUGCAGUGUUUUCUUUGUACAACAUCUUCAGUUUGCAGUACCAGGAGGAAACAGCAUGCACACUGGAAUUCCUUUAAAGAUGCUGUGCUGGGAUAAAUCCAGAGAAGGGAACCUGCGAGGGGAAGGCUGCGAGGGGAAAUGUGACAUCAAAAAAAAAACAAAAAAAACUGGCAAGACCGGCAAAAGUUCAUGAGAAGACCAUGACCGUAAACCCCAAGGUUUCAAAUCUUUUAAAGAAACUAAUGGACUUUUUUUGAUGGGACUUUAUUUAAAAUGUAGCUAGCUGGCAACCCCCCCCCCCCCUACUUUUGCAAUAUUGUUAUAUAAACCAGAGGCCAUUUUUUAUUUUUUAUUUUUAUUUAAUUUUUUUUUUUGCUGAAAGCUCAUUUUGGGGCUAUAUAUUUUUUAUUUUAUAUCCAAGACUAAAUUGCAAA